UACGUAGGGUGGCAAGCGUUAAUCGGAAUUACUGGGCGUAAAGCGUGCGCAGGCGGUGAUGUAAGACAGAUGUGAAAUCCCCGGGCUCAACCUGGGAACUGCAUUUGUGACUGCAUCGCUGGAGUGCGGCAGAGGGGGAUGGAAUUCCGCGUGUAGCAGUGAAAUGCGUAGAUAUGCGGAGGAACACCGAUGGCGAAGGCAGCCCCCUGGGCCAACACUGACGCUCAGGCACGAAAGCGUGGGGAGCAAACAGG
rnacentral:rRNA from 1 species